GUCUCCAACAAUACAGCACUUCCUUUGUAUGACGUGAAGCGUCAGCCUGGAUUAUGUCUUCAAGACUUUAAACUUUGAUUUCAACCCAUUGAGCUGAGAGUGUUAUCCAUUUAUGGUUAGUUUGGAGAGAAGGAAAAAGUUGAUUCUAACAAAUUUCUGUUUCGCUUUCUAGAUGCCAGCAAAGAUGGGGCAAGACCCGCAACUAAGCGAUCUGGUGCAUCCUCUGAUGACAAGCUAAUAAGCGUGAACAAGAAGCCGAGAGGAGAUGGACCCUAAAUUCCACAUGCAUUGUGAACUUGCGCCUUUUUAUUUUAAAUAACCAAGAACUUGACUAGAUUAAGAACCUACCUUGGUAUAUCGGCACACCGCCCAGCAGAAGGAUUUUGCUUCAGAAGAACCAAGUCCUUACUUUUAUUAUUGCUCAUUUUAAGAGGACAAGAAUCUCAUUUGAAAGUACCUGCAGUGAACUGAUGGUAUUAUUUGAAGGAAGGACACCCUGUUGUAUUGAAGUGUAUUUACCUGCCAAAUGACCCAAAUCGCCAAACAUAUUUUAUUGAAAUUUCUCAUCAGAGUACUCUAUAACUGUCUAGUUCUCCCUCACCAUCCCACAGCCAUUUUCAAAGCAGCAAUAAUUUCUUCCAGCAUGUCACAUGACUGUCUGUAACUCAUUUUCCUUUGACAACCUGAAAAUCCUGAGACCAGAGUGUACAUACAGCGUUAUCAACCAUCUUGCAGUCUUUAACAGGAAUUGUCAUUUAGAACUCCAAAUGACCAUUUCUCUUUAGUAGACCUAAUGAAGGAUUGAAGAUUACUAGCUUUUUAACUUUGCAGAGGAACCGUUGUCUCUCCCUUCCCCUCUCCUUUUUCUGCCCCCCAACCAACUCCCAGACUCUUAACCCUUGAAUCCUGAACAGAAACAUUUUCUAAUACAGAUAUCUUCACUCUAUCUCAACACCCAACUUCGUGCUUCGGCUGUCUCCUGCUUACACCUCUGUGUGUGUAUGCUCUUCUGUUACACUUGUUGGAGGGAAUUGUGAAUCUCUUAGUGUUUACGGUUUGACACUGCCACAGGACAAUUUUGUCACAGGUUUACACGAAAGAAAACUGCAGUGUUUGCUGCUCUUCAGGUGCAGAAGUUCAUGUUUUAGAAUGAGUUCAAGUUUUAUAUUCAAUUGGGGUUGAGAGAAGGGGCUUUAACUCUGACCAGAGACAAAGUGAAUUCUGGUGUGGGUUUUUGGGGAAGAAACUGAAGGUUUUGUGGUUUCUAACAUGUACAGUUCUAAGAUUGUCUGAGGUUGUAUCUGUCCCUCUGCAUGUCUGUGGAGAGUGUGCAGGUUCAUAUGAGAUGAUGUUCUGAUGCUAAAUCAAGUAACUUGCACCAUCCUGGAGUGCCAGAGAAAAGCAUAGCACAUAUUUGCGUAUGUGUCAAGCCAUCCCAGAUGUUGUUCUCAGCCCUUAUUUGAAGAUGCUCUCUUGUUCAGAAUCUUGGUUCUCUGCACCUUCUCCCACAGCUUUAGCUGGAUUGUAAUGUGAACGGUUUGAGAUUGAGAUUGGUUUUGGAAGGUGGCUAGACAGGUGAAACCAACUUCUCUGCUUUAUUGUUGUGCAGCCAUGCCACAACAAAAUAAAGCACAUUGCAACUGGAUCUGUGUAAACAACUGAAGCAGUCUGUGGCAUUACUGUAUGGUUGUGUCUAACCUUUUCUUUGAUAUGUAGGGCUGUAACUUGCAUGCAUGUUCCCAUGAUCACAUCCCUAUUUUUAGAAUUAUCUUUGUGUGUGCAUCACAUACCGGUAGGUCAUGGUUGGGAAGGUUUGCAGGUUGGAUGGAUGGGUAUUCACACGACUAUGUUUGGCACAGAGUCAGGGAAGAGGACCGGUAGAUCCAGUAUUCAACUAUGAGACCUCUCCUGAGGUGAAUGAAUGUCACUGGGUGCUAGGUGGUUCCAUAAACACUCUGGGGAACUUUGGCUGGCUUUGGUGGUCACCCAACAAUAAGUGCUGGAGAGAUGUGUGCUGGAUCUGGUUGGACCACUCUGGGUUCCAGUACCAUGCUUUGAUGAGCGAGUAGCCCAUGAACAUUCGUUAUCUAGACUCGUGAAGAACAGCAACUAUUGGCAGCAAAUGUUUGAAACCAAAGCCAUGUCAGAGAAGCUUGGGGAGAAUCGAGGUGGGAGUGACUUUUUGUUUUAAAGCUUUCCUGUUCCAAUUUUCAAUAACUAAAUGUACUCAACCUCACGUUCUUGCUGUCCAUACUGCCUGCUAAGCAUGCAGCGCUGUCUUUUUUUUUUCAAAUCCUUCCACUUGUGCGUUAGCUGGGCAGAUUCUUUCCAGAUCAAUGUCUUGCACUGUUGUCCCUCAGAUUUCUUUCAUGUUUUGAUAUCAAUACAUUAAAUGUAACUCUGGCCUGCAUUGACAUGCUCUUUGUUUGUCCCCUCAAAUAGCUUCCAUCUCCACUGACCAUGUACCCACUAGGUCUGUACUGUGUGUUAGUAUGCCCUACUGUGAUACAAUUAUAGACCUGCACACACCACUACCAUAUACCAGUAUUAUAUGACGACUGAUCUGUACCCUGGCAUUGUAUUGAUCCAGAUAUUCUGUUCAGAUACCAAUGUAGAAGAGCUAUGGGUGAUUUGAAAAAGGGAAUAUUUUGUUUCAAAUGAUGAAAAUUUCAUCUACCUAUUGUUAAUCUAUACCAAAAUCCUGGGCAUCUUGCAAUUUACUCAUAAGCUACAUUUGACUUCUAAUCAAAACUGAAUUUUUAAGAUAUGUAUACGUAUAUUGAUAUGAGCCUCCAGGAUCGUUCCCUGUGAAAAUAUGAUUCAUUUGUUCUGAAAGCAAAUAUUUGCUAUUGGGCAAAACCUAAGAAAAAUCUUUUUUACCUUUUUUGUCAAGCUCCUACAGCAGAACCCAGCAUAUUGGAAACAUCCGAGUUGCUGCUAGAAUAAGAGCCAGGCCCAAUUUUAAUAUUUUUGUUUCUUACUCGAUAAUUAUAAAUUCCAUUCAACCAUCAGGAUGAGCGUGGACAAUGUUAUGGGGUUGGGGGGAUGGUGUGAAGAGUGCAGUCCUAUUCUCAGUCACGUACAGCCACUCUCAUUUCAUUCAGCAAGAUACUUUGAACAACAUCUCCAGUGCAGUGUAAUAAUUGCCAGGGUUUUAUUUGUCAGUGCAUGGAAACCUAAGAUUUUUAAAAGUACAAUAAUUGAUAACUUGCAUUUUAAAUAUAUAUAUAUAUAUAAAUAUAUAUAUAGUUUAUCAUUGUUCUGGGAGAAAGAAAAAUACUGAUGUUUUCUCUCAUUUUCUUUUAUUCCUUUACAAAACAAUUAUAUGUACAUGUGUCUAUCUAAAUUUCAUGACUUUGGAAACUGUACAUAUACUUCAAUUUUCUGAAUGACUUCUAGAUGGAUCACUUCCGGAUGUUAAUGUUCAAAUGGCAACCCCCUCCUCCAGGUCAUAUGCCAGAAGUCUUUUGCUUAAGCUUUCAGAAAACGUCCUAUAGUUUAUCAUUUCUUUUGACAGGCAGGCCAUUGAUAAGAUUGGAAGGGUUUUGGUUAUCUUGAGAGACGUGUUCUCUCUAUACAGGGUAUGUCUUUAAAUGAUGCAAAAAAAGGCCCAAGUUUGGCUCCAGUCAUUUUGUAAUAUUGUGUACAGCUUGGAUAGGAAGUGUGCUAAUGUGUUUUUUUUUAAAGAAAAGGGUUUUGUAUAGUUUUUACAUGUUUAAACUGGGCAGGGAGGGAGGUGGGGGGAAAUGCAGGUAGUUUAGAAUUUGCUCUCCAAAAGAUGAUAUUUCCCUCUUUCUCCCGCCCUGAAUUCUGUAUGUAGCUAUGUUUCCCCAUGCUGUGAAGUUGGUACCAUUUAUAUGUAAUUCUCUGCUGCUUUCACCAGUUGUAAUGAAUUUAUAUUUUUUUGGAUUUAAAGGAAAACGUGGAAAAAAACAUUGUCCAUUGUAGAAAAGUCAAAUUAUAAAUCAUUUUGCUACCUUUUUGUGCUUUUUUUUUGAAUAAAACCUUUUUUGAAUAAA